rnacentral:rRNA from 1 species
UUGAGCCUUGAUGUGUAGGAUAGGUGGGAGGCUUUGAAGUGUGGACGCCAGUCUGCAUGGAGCCGACCUUGAAAUACCACCCUUUAAUGUUUGAUGUUCUAACGUUGACCCGUAAUCCGGGUUGCGGACAGUGUCUGGUGGGUAGUUUGACUGGGGCGGUCUCCUCCUAAAGAGUAACGGAGGAGCACGAAGGUUGGCUAAUCCUGGUCGGACAUCAGGAGGUUAGUGCAAUGGCAUAAGCCAGCUUGACUGCGAGCGUGACGGCGCGAGCAGGUGCGAAAGCAGGUCAUAGUGAUCCGGUGGUUCUGAAUGGAAGGGCCAUCGCUCAACGGAUAAAAGGUACUCCGGGGAUAACAGGCUGAUACCGCCCAAGAGUUCAUAUCGACGGCGGUGUUUGGCACCUCGAUGUCGGCUCAUCACAUCCUGGGGCUGAAGUAGGUCCCAAGGGUAUGGCUGUUCGCCAUUUAAAGUGGUACGCGAGCUGGGUUUAGAACGUCGUGAGACAGUUCGGUCCCUAUCUGCCGUGGGCGCUGGAGAACUGAGGGGGGCUGCUCCUAGUACGAGAGGACCGGAGUGGACGCAUCACUGGUGUUCGGGUUGUCAUGCCAAUGGCACUGCCCGGUAGCUAAAUGCGGAAGAGAUAAGUGCUGAAAGCAUCUAAGCACGAAACUUGCCCCGAGAUGAGU